rnacentral:rRNA from 1 species
CCUACGGGAGGCAGCAGUAGGGAAUAUUGCACAAUGGGGGAAACCCUGAUGCAGCGACGCCGCGUGAGUGAAGAAGUAAUUCGUUAUGUAAAGCUCUAUCAGCAGGGAAUAAAAUGACGGUAACUGAGUAAGAAGCCCCGGCUAACCACGUGCCAGCAGCCGCGGUAAUACGUAGGGGGCAAGCGUUAGGCGGAUUUACUGGGUGUAAAGUGAGCGUAGACGGCAGUGCAAGUCUGGAGUGAAAGGCGGGGGCUCAACCCCCGGACUGCUCUGGAAACUGUACGGCUGGAGUGCAGGAGAGGUAAGUGGAAUUCCUAGUGUAGCGGUGAAAUGCGUAGAUAUUAGGAGGAACACCAGUGGCGAAGGCGGCUUACUGGACUGUAACUGACGUUGAGGCUCGAAAGCGUGGGGAGCAAACAGGAUUAGAUACCCUAGUAGUC